rnacentral:tRNA from 2 species
AGCAGAAAGCUUUUAUAGCGCUGGUCUUGUAAAUCAAAGAUAGAAAUUAAUUCUCUGCUCU